CAGCUGACCAUGACGGCUGUGGAUCCCCCUCCCCCUACCCUACCUUUCUCCUUCAUCGCCACCCCACCCUACCUGGCUUCUUCCCCCGCCGCCGCCCCCCACCAGCAUCUGGCAUAUUCCACCGCAGGCGCCCUGCACUAGUCGUCUCCCUCCCCACCUUCUUCCACCUCAAGGAGACGGGAUCCGGGCCGGCAAAACGUGCCCUUGCGCGGCCACGACCAGCCCCAGCUGCGACAUCCGGCGACGACAUCCCGGUACAUGGCGGCAUGCUAGGAGAUGGAUCGCGACGGAGUGGCGGUCGUCCAUGCCGUGGCGAUGCGGGGUCGUGCUCCUCCUGGAGAUCAGCCCGGUAGGCGGCGCCGGCCAAACCUCCCCUAACCCCGGAUCCACACCUCCCCGGCGGGGAUCAGGUGGAGCGAGGCCAGGUCGAUGCGGGUGGUGCCUGCCUUGCACUACAGAUCCCCACGGCGGUCCCUCCCCGCGUCGACGAGCACCAUGACGGCGAGAUCUCGCCUAGCCCUCCCUUCCUCUGCUUCCUCUGCUCGCCGGUCUCUCCCCCCCAAUCUGCAGAUCACCGGCAGCGCCCCAUUCCAUGCCGCAGUUUGUUUCGGUCGUCCACACCAUAGAUCAUGGAGCCAUGGUCCAUGCAGUCGAUUUUGCGUGCAGUUACAGUCAACCCCACGGGCAUAGGAGGACGUGGGCAGUGCAUUUUGGAGUUUUUAUCCAUUCCAGAGUUGCGGUGCAGUUUGGAGUUUUGUGUGUGUUGAGAAGCUACAGAAAAUUGCACUCUGACUAAGUUUCUCAAGUGCAAAUAAUGUUAUUACAUUCAGUUUUGGUUAUGCAUUGGCAGUGCGGUACUUCAGUGCUAAAUUUGGCGUAGUGGACGGCAAUGUGUGUGUGUGUGUGUGUAUGUGUGUGAAUCUGUACAGUGUUGUUUGGCUCCAGUUUUGGUUACUCAGCGUGUUAGUUUUGUUACUCAUCGCCUGUAGUUGUGCAGAUUCCGCACCACACGUGAGGGUUCCUCCGGGCAUCAGCUUGGCAGUCUACCUGGCUCGGUUGUGAACUUGUGUGCAAUUCAAUAGCUGUGGAUGGUGUCAUGUUUUAUA